rnacentral:rRNA from 1 species
GAUAAACGCUGGCGGCGUGCCUAACACAUGCAAGUCGAACGCGCUCUGCCCGCAAGGGCAGAGGGAGUGGCGGACGGGUGAGUAAGACAUGGGUGACCUAUCCCCCAGUGAGGAAUACCACCGGGAAACCGGUGACAAUACCGCAUAGGCUCGCGCUUUCAUCGGUGCGAGCAAAGCUCCGCCAGGAGCGCUGGAGGAGGGGCUCAUGGCCGAUUAGCUAGCUGGUGGGGUAAGGGCCUACCAGGGCGACGAUCGGUAGCUGGUCUGAGAGGACGAG